UUCUAAUCUAAUCCAGCCACAUUUUAUAUUAUCAGUUAAUCAGAAGUGUGAAAUACACUGUGACAGGCUUACAGCACUUUAUCAGACUUCUAUCAUUUUUCUGGUUAAAUGGCAGCUGAACUAGUUAACGUGAAUGAGUUCCAAAUUAUGGCUAAGCAAGUCCUGCCAAAAAUGUACUAUGACUUCUAUGCUGGAGGAGCAGAGGACCAGUAUACCCUGAAAGAGAAUGUGGAAGCUUUUCAAAAAAUCUUGUAUUUUCUUAAAACUCAUGAUGGAUAAUGUAGAAAACAAGACAUUGCCUUUAGUAAAACAUCUAUUUGGCUUCUCAGGUUUCGGCCUAGAGUUCUUAUGGAUGUUAGCAGAAUAGAAUUGUCCACUACUGUAUUCGGUCACGCUAUCUCAGCACCUAUAAUGAUAGCUCCAACCUCUAUGCAUAAGCUUGCACACCCUGAAGGUCUUAAGUUCUUACUGAAGAGUUCUUAACUGUAUAUUUUCCAUAUUCUGAUUUCACCUGCUUUUAUUAUUGUCACAGGAGAAAUUGCUACUGCAAGAGCAGCAGCUGCAUGUAACACCAUAAUGGUUUUAUCCGUCUCCGCCACCUGCAGUCUGGAGGAGGUUGCCGCCAGCUGCAAUGCUGUUCAGUUCUUUCAAUUAUAUGUGUAUAAGAGACGCAGUAUAGCUGUUAACUUAGUGCAGAGAGCUGAAAGGAAUGGAUACAAAGCUAUUGUCGUAACAGCUGAUACUCCAAGACUUGGUCGAAGAGAAGCAGACAUAAAGAAUAAGUGCCUAUCAUUUCUUCCCCUUUCAUUUUAUCUGAAUGCACUUACUAUUAUAGUUUGGUUGAAAUGCUUUACAAGUUGAGGAUGCAACACAAAUAUUAGUAGGUGAUCUAAUCACAAAGGUGUUUCUAUAUCUCACUUGGACUUCAUAAACUAUGUGUUUUCAUCUCAUAUGAACAUAACUGUGAUAACUGCUGCAGAAUGAUUGUACCUCAGCUGAAGAAUCUGGAGGGUCUCUUAUCAACUGAAGUUAAAUAUGUGAGUACAAUAAUUGAAAUGGGCAACGAGCAUGCCAAAUCUAUUUUAAAUGAAUAGAAGAUCAAAGUGACUCUCACGUUUCAAAGAAUUUACUGCAUUAAAACGUAAACAAUUAUCACUGUCUGCCGAAAUUUGUCAUGUUGCUUUUAUUAUAUUUUGGUUCAAAUUAUUGCUUUUAUUAAAAUGUGAACAAAUCGCUUAGCCCAUCAGUAAUCUGCAUAAUAAGUAUUAUUUCUAUAUAAUGAAUUUGCAGGACAAGGGUUCAAGCUUAGAAGCUUAUGCCAAUGAAUCCUUUGAUGCUUCUUUAUGUUGGAAGGUAUGAACGAGUAAACAACUCUUAAUGUUGGGCCAUAUUUUUAACUUGCAUAAGAAUGACAACAAAAGAAGUCCUGAUUGUACAUCUAGUGGAGAUAUAUCUGAGUUAGAGAAAAAUACUGUUUGGUUAGCCAAUUAAGUUAAAUUUUUUAGCCUUCUUGAUCUUUAGGUUGGAACUGGAGUGGCAUUCUUGUGCAGCAGAAUCAAUUUAUUGUUGUUCAUAUUGGUUUAAUUAGUGAAAACUUUCAAUGCAGGAUAUAGGAUGGUUAAAAUCUAUUACAAACUUGCCAAUUGUGGUCAAGGGGAUAUUAACUCGUGAUGAUGGUAAAAUCAAGCUGCUUCUGAUGUUAUUUUCAUCUCUCCAUUUCCUUCUCAUGUUAUUAUUAUUUUCCCAUAUAAGGAAACCAUUCAACUUCUAACCUAUAAAGAGAACUGGACUAGUACUGCUUGCAUUCAUUGAAAAAUACUAGACCUUUGCUAAUCAUAAAUGAAAUUAUUUCCCUUCUUCUGUUUCCUUUUGUCAGUGAAGAUAUACUCACAUGAAGAGUGCUUUGAGUGUUUAUAUGCCUCUAUGUUAUGUCUCUAUGUUUGUUCCAUGAUUGAAUAGCUUGUUCACUUAAUAUUGGCAGCCAUCAAGGCCAUGGAAGUAGGUGUUGAGGGAAUUAUUGUCUCCAAUCAUGGAGCUCGCCAGCUGGAUUAUACUCCUGCCACUAUUUCUGCUCUGGAAGAGGUGAUUCAGUUUUGAAUAUCUAGAUAUGUGUAUGCAUCUUUGCUCACAAAAGGAAAAUAUACUCGCUGAAGUCCUACAUUUGAAUCCCUGGACUCAGGUUGUUGAUGCUGUUAGAGGGAAAGUUCCAGUUCUUCUUGAUGGAGGAAUACGUCGGGGAACAGAUGUUUUCAAGGC
rnacentral:misc_RNA from 1 species